rnacentral:misc_RNA from 1 species
CCGAGUUUACAACUCCCAAACCCCUGUGAACAUACUACUUGUUUGCCCCGGCGGAUCAGCCCGCCUCCCGGUAAAACGGGACGGCCCGCCAGAGGACCCCUAAACUCUGUUUCUAUAAUGUAACUUCUGAGUAAAACCAUAAAUAAAUCA